rnacentral:lncRNA from 1 species
CAUAGAGGGUCGUGGGGCCAUCCUCUCUUUUCUAAGUUGUUAGCUGUCAAGAUUUUCAUGUGUAGAAGGAUCUAGGCAAAAAUUCUACAUUUAGGUUCCGUCUUUGCUUCCCAGAUUUGGGUGAUAGUUUGCAUUUUAAUCUGUCCUGACAAUUGUAUACGGUACACACUCUUUGUUAUGUACUCUCCAUCUGCUGUCCAUCGCCAAGUGAUUUCAUCCUCGGCUUCGGGGUUGCAUUUUAGUAAGUGUAUUUCCUCCCAAAAACUCGUGUACUCCCUUAUCUCCUCCCCCGUGUUUAAUGGGCACAUUUGGUUGAUCCAAUAGUUGUCUUGCAGGGCCUUUUGUAUAGCAAAAUUCUUUCUUUUGGACUUUCUAAAUGAGCAUGGGGCUAUGUUUUUUGGUGCUCUCCC